UACGUAGGGCGCAAGCGUUGUCCGGAAUUAUUGGGCGUAAAGAGCUCGUAGGCGGUUUGUCGCGUCUGCUGUGAAAACUCGGGGCUCAACUCCGAGCUUGCAGUGGGUACGGGCAGACUAGAGUGCGGUAGGGGAGACUGGAAUUCCUGAUGUAGCGGUGGAAUGCGCAGAUAUCAGGAGGAACACCGGUGGCGAAGGCGGGUCUCUGGGCCGUAACUGACGCUGAGGAGCGAAAGCAUGGGGAGCGAACAGG
rnacentral:rRNA from 1 species